UUGUGGCGCGCCCACAGCGCGUAGCACUUCAGUGUUUGGCAUCGUUGAUCGUGACGGUAUCCUGAACUCGAUGCGCGUGUUUACUUGAAAUCUUCAACAAAUAUCGGAGGUGGUUUAGGGGGCCCUUUAAGAGAAAAAUAGAGUACUUAUUUCAAGCACCCUUUAUUUUUGAAAAGGGAUGAAUGUAGGAGAACGAAAACAGUAUAAAGUAUGGAAACCUGGCUGCCCAUCAUAAGUGUGGUAAUAUAGUGACUUUCGUUAAGUGCAAUGAUAACAGUGGCAUUGGCACACAAGGUUUGAGACAUGAAACCUGUGGUACCCUUGGCAUUCGUCAGCAUAGUAAAUAGGUUUGCCACACUGACAAAUGCCAAAGGCAUAAUAGGUUUCGUGCAUACAUUGGUCGUGUUCCACCUUAUGAGUAUUGCAUUUCUAAAACAAAGGUCUACAGCAGUGCUUUGAAUGGCAAAUAUAUUUCAUAAUUUUCAGAAUUCAUUAUUGCAGGAAUAACAGUGCAGAUCAGUCAAAAUAAUUUUACAGACUAUAUGUCCAUAGAUACACUCGCUUUUUCGAAUGGCAUGGCGCCGACAUGUGGUGGUGAGAUGAAUGUCUUUGUUUCAGAUUGAAAUAGUGGCUUCCAGGCCUGGGUUAGUCGCCUCCAACAUUGAGGAUUUUAGGCCAGAGUCUAUGUACAAGUGGGAAGUGAAUUAGACUAGGAAACAAAGAUCAAUUUUCAACUCAAGCUAAGAAACAUGCACGAGUUUUGUGGGAAAAGUGCGAACAAGAAUACCAUAAGGACACCAAUGGCGGCUGCAGCGCUGGACGCAGACACCGAAUUUUCUGUGACACAGGGCCCUUACGCUGCCACGUUAAGAAGGAGGACGCGCAAAAAGGUCGAUGGUGCGAACCCACACUUUGGCAUGUACAGAUUUAAUUGUGUUAUUCGACAUCGUAGAAGGGUAAUAGAAGUUUGUUUCACACUGCCGUGAGGGACAUGGCCGGACAUUCAAGGAGAACACUAAAUGUCCUUAAAGUUUUGGUAUAAUGAAACCUGGGCCAAGUGCUGCCUUUGUCAAGCUGUCUGCAAUCUCGCUAAGUGCUAGUCCACAAUGUUCAGGUAUGCACAAUAACAGAUUUUCUUUAACAUGAUGUGGAAUAAAAAGUGUUGCGAUGGGUGCAGUAGUGAAUUAUUUGGGAUUUAUAAUGACAUAAGAACUGACACUCUGCGAGCAUUAUUAUGGUGUGUGGCACAUUCUUGCAAAC